rnacentral:rRNA from 1 species
CUCGAGAUUUGAUCAUGGCUCAGAUUGAACGCUGGGCGGCAUGCUUUACACAUGCAAGUCGAACGGCAGCACGGCGGGCAACCCUGGUGGACGAGUGGCGAACGGGUGAGUAAUGCAUCGGAACGUAUCCUUGAGUGGGCGGAUAACGCAGCGAAAGUUGUGCUAGAUACCGCAUAAGCUCUGAGGAGGAAAGCGCUAGGACCGAAAGGCCUCGCGCUGAAGGAGCGGCCGAUGUCCGAUUAAGCUAGUUGGUGAGGUAAAGGCUUACCAAGGCGACGAUCGGUAGCUGGUCUGAGAGGAUGAUCAGCCAUCAACUGGGACUGAGACACGGCCCAGACUCCUACGCGGAGGCAGCAGUGGGGAAUUCCUUGAGACAAUGGCGAAACCCUGAUCCAGCCAUGCCGCGUGAGUCGAAUGAAGGCCUUCGGGUUGUAAAGCUCAUUCGUCGUGAGGCGAAGAUAACAGGUUGCAGGCGAGAUAACUCUCGGAUUGAUGACGGUACCUCAAUGAAGAAGCACCGGCUCAACUACCGUGCCAGCAGCGCGCGAGUAAUACGUAGGGUAGCGAGCGUUAAUCGGAAUCUACUGGGCGUAAUAGCGUGCGCAGGCUGGUUUGUUAAGUCAGAUGUGAAUAUGCCCCGAGCUUAACUUGGGAACUGCGUUUGAAACUGCGCAAGCUAGAGUCUGUCAGAGCGGGCUGGUCAGAAUUCCACGGUGUAGCAGUGAAGAUGCGUAGAGAUGUGGACGGAAUACCAAUGGUCGAAGGCAGCCGGCCCUGAGGAUAAGACUGACGCUCAUGCACGAUAAGCGUGGGGAGCAAACAGGAUUAGAUACCCUGGUAGUCCGACGCCCUAAACGAUGUCAACUGGUAUGUUGGCGCAACUUGAUAUGUUCAGUAACGAAGCUAACGCGAGAAUGUUGACCGCCUGGCCGGAGUACGGUCGGCAAGAUUAACAACUCAAAUGGAAUUGACGGCUGGACCCGCACAAGCGGUGGAUGAUGUGGAUUAAUUCGAUGCAACGCGAAGCACCUUUACCUACCCUUGACAUGUACGGAAGUCUGCUGAGAGGUGGAUGUGCCUGAAAGGCGAAUCCGUAACACAUGGUCGCUGCAUGGCUGUCGUCAGCUCGUGUCGUGAGAUGUUGGGUUAAGUCCCGCAACGAGCGCAACCUCUUGCUAUUAAUUGCCAUCAUUGAAGUUGGGCACUGUUAAUAGGACUGCUGGUGAUAAGACCGGAGGUAAGGUGGCGGAUGACGUCAAGUCCUCAUGGCCCUUAUGGGUAGGGCUUCAGCACGUCAUACAAUGGCCGGUACAGAGGGAUGCCAACCCGCGAGACUGGAGCCAAUCUCAGAAAGCCGGUCGUAGGUCCGCGAUUGUUCUCUGCAACUCGAGAGUCUAUGAAGUCGGAAUUCGCUAGUAAUCGCGGGAUCAGCAUGUCGCGGUGAAUACGUUCCCAC